AGUUUGAUCCUGGCUCAGAAUCAACGCUGGCGGCGUGCCUAACACAUGCAAGUCGAACGCGAAAGUCCCGCAAGGGAUGAGUAGAGUGGCAAACGGGUGAGUAACACGUGGGUGACCUGCCUUCGAGCGGGGGAUAACGUCCCGAAAGGGACGCUAAUACCGCAUGACAUCCUGCCUUUGAAGAGGCGGAGAUCAAAGCUGGGGAUCGCAAGACCUAGCACUUGAAGAGGGGCCCGCGCCUGAUUAGCUAGUUGGUGGGGUAACGGCUCACCAAGGCAACGAUCAGUAUCCGGCCUGAGAGGGCGGACGGACACACUGGGACUGAGACACGGCCCAGACUCCUACGGGAGGCAGCAGUGGGGAAUUGUUCGCAAUGGGCGCAAGCCUGACGACGCAACGCCGCGUGGAGGAUGAAGACCUUCGGGUCGUAAACUCCUUUCGAUCGAGACGAAUGGCUUCCUGGUGAAUAACCGGGGAGUAUGACGGUACCGAGAGAAGAAGCCCCGGCUAACUCCGUGCCAGCAGCCGCGGUAAUACGGGGGGGGCAAGCGUUGUUCGGAAUUACUGGGCGUAAAGGGCUCGUAGGCGGCCAACUAAGUCAGACGUGAAAUCCCUCGGCUUAACCGGGGAACUGCAUCUGAUACUGGAUGGCUUGAGAUUGGGAGAGGGAUGCG
rnacentral:rRNA from 1 species